AUGCAUGGCCUUUCUUACGAUCCUAACAAUUUACGUAUGGAUUUUCUAAUGAUCCUAACGAUAUGUAUGUUCAAUCUUUUUGCAGGUAGUUGGCUCCAUACACCAUUCCCUGAGCACAUCACUAAACCCCGCUCCUGUCAUCAGAGUGAGAUCAAGGUGUGCAGCUGUCUCCUGUCCUCAGAUCUCUACCCAUCGCUGUUGUGGGGAUCCAGCUGAUCUCAGCUCCUGACCUGCACAGUCCUUUCCUGUCGCUGACAUGGGUCUGGCUGUCUGCUGUCCUGAGAUCUCAGCGCGUGGCUGCUGUGGAGAUCCAGCCCACCUCAGCUGCAGUUUCGGAGCCCUCACCUGUUGUUGCUGUGGAGGCCCAACUGAGCCCUGCUGCUGCGGCUUGGCCUCCUGAUCUAGGGCUUUCGUCUUGUUGCCCUGCUGCUGCCUAGCCUCCUGAUCCAGGGCCUCUGUCUGGUAGCUGCUGCCCGUUGCUGCUUCGUGGGUCCAGCCACCAAAGUAUCCACUCCUGAGACCAUCAUCAAGCUCUGCUGCAGCGGCCCCGAUGUCUCCAGUCCCGGUGUCUUCAGCCGACACCGUGCCAGGGGUCAAGAGCACUGCAGAGGUCCUCCUGUUGCCUUUUUUUGGGCAGAGGGGGUGACCGCAACCGAGUCCACCACUGCAUCCUGUUGGCUCCCCUCUUCAAGAACUGCUGUACAGCCUGCACUGGUGUCCGCCAUGUAACUCUGGUUUGGUGACCUCAAGCACCUUCCUGACGGGGUGGCCAGAUGCCCAAAGAACCAAACCCUGCUUGGCCAGAUGCCUAUGCUCUAUGUCUAUGCCCUACGUGGCCAGACACUCACAAGGACUGGACUUUUCCUUGUCUGGCUCUUUCACAGCUCUGCUUCCCUGUCUAGGACAAUGAACACACACUAGUGUCAUUCUGUCAUCCCCUUUGUUAGAGCCUUUUGUUUAGAGUUAGAGGGGGUGGCUGUUAGAAAGGCCAACUCUGAUUUAGUAGUUUCAGCACCCCUUUUCUAGUAGUUUAUUAUAUUUGCCCAACACCCCUUAUUUCUCACAGUAGUGGUACCUGAAAUCUGUUACAUUCCAGUCAUGUUUUCAGUUAUUAUGCUUACCAGUAUUUUGGUCCUGUAAGUGUAAUACUGUAGCUUGUGUAUUUGGUUUGGGCGCUUACAUUAUAUCUUGGUAUAAACAGUAUACUCAUGGUUAUAUUUUUUUUAAUCUUUCCAUAGAACCACAUUUAUACACUCUCACUUUUACUGUGAGCCAUCAUUACAGAGGAGUGUGGUGUGGUGAACCUUUAUCUUUAAUAAACCUGACAAUACUGUGAGCUCCAAAAGUAUUG
ensembl:lncRNA